rnacentral:rRNA from 1 species
GUGCCAGCAGCAGCGGUAAUACGGAGGGUGCAAGCGUUAAUCGGAAUUACUGGGCGUAAAGCGCACGCAGGCGGUCUGACAAGUCGGAUGUGAAAUCCCCGGGCUCAACCCGGGAACUGCAUUCGAAACUGUCAGGCUGGAGUCUUGUAGAGGGGGGGUAGAAUUCCAGGUGUAGCGGUGAAAUGCGUAGAGAUCUGGAGGAAUACCGGUGGCGAAGGCGGCCCCUGGACAAAGACUGACGCUCAGGUGCGAAAGCGUGGGGAGCAAACAGGAUUAGAUACCCUGGUAGUCCACGCUGUAAACGAUGUCGACUUGGAGGUUGUGCCCUUGAGGCGUGGCUUCCGGAGCUAACGCGUUAAGUCGACCGCCUGGGGAUACGGCCGCAAGGUUAAAACUCGAAAUGAAUUGACGGGGCCCGCACAAGCGGUGGAGCAUGUGGUUUAAUUCGA